rnacentral:rRNA from 1 species
GGCGACCGGCGCACGGGUGAGUAACACGUAUCCAACCUGCCGAUAACUCGGGGAUAGCCUUUCGAAAGAAAGAUUAAUACCCGAUGGCAUAAUUAGACCGCAUGGUUUGAUUAUUAAAGAAUUUCGGUUAUCGAUGGGGAUGCGUUCCAUUAGGCAGUUGGUGAGGUAACGGCUCACCAAACCUUCGAUGGAUAGGGGUUCUGAGAGGAAGGUCCCCCACAUUGGAACUGAGACACGGUCCAA